rnacentral:lncRNA from 1 species
UUCCUAGCAAGGGGCCUUGGACUCAGCCCUCAAACCCAACGAGUCAUGCUUUACUUCACGGGUUGCUCGGGAGGCGUGGCAGGCCUUAGAGUCGCAAAAGACUUAGCUGAAAACAACCCAGGAAGCCGAGUCCUGCUUGUCACCUCUGAAACCACCAUUAUCGGGUAACUCUUUUAAUCACCUCCUAAAGCUCAUACAUGCUGUUCUCAGAAUUUUAAACAUAAACACCAAUUUCUUUACAGCUUCAAGCCACCGAGUGUAAAUCGUCCAUACGAUCUCGUAGGCGUGGCACUAUUUGGGGAUGGUGCAGGGGCGAUGGUAAUUGGGAGAGACCCUUUUUUGGGCAUUGAACGACCACUCUUUGAACUCCACACAACAACCCAGAAAUUCAUUCCAGAUACUCAGAACAUAAUCGAUGGGAAACUGUCGGAGGAAGGUAUUAGUUUCACAAUAACAAGAGAACUUCCUCAGAUAAUUGAAGACAACAUCGAAAGUUUCUGUGAGACAUUUCUUCAAACACUUGGGUUACAUGAGAAAGAAUACAACAAAAUAUUCUGGGCAGUACAUCCAGGUGGGCCAGCGAUAUUGAACAGGUUGGAGAAGAGGCUAGAACUGUUACCUGAGAAGCUGACAGCGAGCCGACGAGCUCUGAUGGACUAUGGAAAUGCGAGUAGUAACACGAUCGUGUACGUAUUGGAAUACAUGAUGGAAGAAAGCUUGAAAAUGAAGAUGGAAGGUAGGAAAAUUGAGGAAUGGGGAUUGAUUCUGGCGUUUGGACCUGGGAUUUCAUUUGAAGGGAUUCUGGCGAGGAAUCUUGCCGUAUGAGAAAAAUGAUAGAGUUGAUGCUUACUAUGAAUAUGAAAUUUUCAAUUUCUAUUGUGUGUUAGUUUUUAGAAAUGUUGAAUGGAAUGAUUUGUUUUGGUCUCUACGUUGUUAUCAUCCACCAAGCUUUUUGUAUAUUAUAAUUAGGAUAAUUAUAAAUAACAAUUUUAAGAAUAAUGAUAACAAAAUCUAUUGGUAAUAACUUCCCACAAUUUUUUUUAAAUAUAACAAUCUUAAUUAUUCCUUUAAUUUUAAAAUAUUAAGUCUAUAGAAUAAAACUAAACAACUCAUUUUAGCACUAUACAUCAAUUUUCAAAAAGUUAUAUAGUUAGUCACUAAUGUUGUAAUUUUAUCUUUGUUUCAAUUUAAUUCUUAGUUUCGAUUUUCAUUAAAUACCAAUUAAUAGACAUUAAUGUCUAUUAAUUGAUUUAAAAUAGUUGUGAAGUGAUGAUUGAAAUUUAGUUUUAAUAGUGAUACAUAAAUAAUCAAACUUAAUUAAUCAUACUCUUUUAGGAUGGAAGGUGAGUAUUUAGCUGAUGUUAAACCUUAAAAUGUAAAUCUUGAAAAAUCAAAACAAAAACAAAAAAAUGACUAAAUUUAAACCAAACUUAGAAACUAAAUAAAAAUUAGAUUUAAAGCUUAAAGACCAUAAUAAAACAAAAGUCAAUAAAAUUGUAACGGAUUAAAUUAAAAACAAACUCAAAAUAAAAGUCUUGAAUAUUUAAUAUUUUGAAAAAUGUGGACCAAAUAAAAAGUUAACAGAGGUGUAAAAAAGGAAAAAAAAUAUUUAUUCAACUCCGAACCAUUAAUUUUAUCAAUUUAGACCUUGUAUUUUUACAAAAACAUAAAUAUAAACUUCAAAUUUUAAUUUAAGUUUUAAAUUGAUACAUUGAAGCAAUAAUUAAUUUAAGAUUUAAAUUUAUACAACAUACAAAGUUUUAUAAUAUAAAUAUUUGUAUAUGGAAAAAAAAAACCAAAAACUUAUUGGUGGAAAAGGAAUUAUAAUUUUAGGAAAAGCAAUUCCCGAAGACGCAAACUCUCACAUGUGAAAGUGAAACAAACAAACAAAGUUGGAAAGUUCGUAGAUAUUGAAACUUUGAUUCCUUGACAAACCACUUAUAUUAAAUUUCUUGGAAAAGCACUGCCCAAUCCAAAACUACUUUUCCAAACGGAAAGACGACAACCAAUGAUUAACAAUUCCAUAAUAUACAAUCUUUUGUAUCAUAAAUUAUGAAGACCAAGACGUAGACUCAGAGCCAAAAGAGCAGAGAACCAUAAUCGGAGCUAAGGGAAAAAGAUGGCUCACCUGAAGCUUGAAGGCGCCAUUAAUUUGAAGGAAGAUCUCAUCGCAACCGCUUGCUCUGCCGCCAUUAAAGCUCACAAGCAUCCUGAGAAGCCAUUUCUUCUUGAUAAAACUAGAGAUUCCUCCAUCAUUAGCUUCGCCGGAUCUUCG